AGAAUGAACGCUGGCGGCGUGCCUUACACAUGCAAGUCGAGCGAGGCGGCCCGCAAGGGUCAGUCGAGCGGCGAACGGGUGAGUAACGCGUGGAUGACCUGCCCUGAGAUGGGGGAAUAACCCGGGGGAAACUCGGGCUAAUACCGCAUGAGACCGAGAGGUGAAAGGCGGCUCGCAAGAGCUGUCGUCUUAGGAGGGGUCCGCGUCCGAUUAGCUAGUUGGUAGGGUAAUGGCCUACCAAGGCGACGAUCGGUAGCCGGCCUGAGAGGGUGAUCGGCCACACUGGAACUGAGACACGGUCCAGACUCCUACGGGAGGCAGCAGUGGGAAUUUGCGCAAUGGGCGGAAGCCUGACGCAGCAACGCCGCGUGGAGAUGAAGGUCCUUGGAUUGUAAACUCCUGUCAGCAAGGAAAAGGAGAACGAACCUAAUACGUCGUUGACUUGAUUGUACUGCAGUAGACGCCCGGCUACUCUGUCGCCA
rnacentral:rRNA from 1 species